rnacentral:rRNA from 1 species
CCUACGGGGGGCAGCAGUGGGGAAUAUUGCACAAUGGGGGAAACCCUGAUGCAGCGACGCCGCGUGAGUGAAGAAGUAAUUCGUUACGUAAAGCUCUAUCAGCAGGGAAGAAAAUGACGGUACCUGAGUAAGAAGCCCCGGCUAACUACGUGCCAGCAGCCGCGGUACUACGGAGGGGGCCAGCGUUAUCCGGCUUUACUGGGUGUAAAGGGAGCUGAGACGGUUGUCCAAGUCUGUAGUGAAAUGCCGCAGCUUAACUGCGGAACUGCUUUGGAAACUGGCGCACUAGAGUGCGGGAGGGGUAAGCGGAAUGCCUAGUGUAGCGAUGAAAUGCGUAGAUAUUAGGAGGAACACCGGUGGCGAAGGCGGCUUACUGGACCGUAACUGACGUUGAGGCUCGAAAGCGUGGGGAGCAAACAGGAUUAGAUACCCUGGUAGUC